GUUUUAAUGGCAGCUGGUCAGAAACUCUACCCCUGAAACUUAGAGGACACACAACACUCUUUAAACAGAGGGAUGGAGGGAUGCAGAGACAGAAGGAUCACACACACACACCAAUAUCUGAUCUUCGCAUGCCACGAAAAGGAGGAAAAAGGAAGAAGACGGAAAGAUAACGAGGAAGAGCUUCCAGGAAGAGGAACUUCCUAAAUGCUAGAAGCGUGAGAGCAUUUCCAGAAAAUUCCUCUCGUCCUAUAAAUAUUUCUAGUGUUCGUCUCUAUUCUGAGCGCGCUCACACAGGUCUCGGACCCACACGCCAUUUGAGACGGGCCUCGUUUCGAGACGUCCAAAUGAAACUUUUAUUAGUUCUUCCCUUUACAGCUCUAUAGUCAAGAAUUUCCUUGGAUCCUGUUUCCGUCACAAUCAUUCAGAAAAAAAAAAGAUCGAUGAUGGUUUAGAUUGGGUAUAGGGGCGGAGCCAAUCUUUUCUUCUGAUGUCAUUCAUGAGCAAUCGAAGUUGAUCCAGCUAUAUCAAAACUCAUAAGGUUUAAGCUCAAGUCAGAUUCAGCGACAGAAUCGAUGCCCCGGUGUUCCAGAGCUAAAUAUCUUGAGUGUAAUCUUUAAUAAAUUGGUGCUCAUGCAAAUA